CGGACAAAGUUACAGAAUAUAGCGACUCGGUACAUCCACUUUCUUUGUAUUUCCACCAUGCCGAAGAAUACUUCCUCAAAUUGGAGAAAAAUUCGACAAAAAUACCUCGAAUAGUCUAUCUUUCUUCCGAUAACUCGUCUCUUGUAAGCGUAGCGAGAGAAAGGUAUCCGUCCUGGAAAAUAAUCGGAUUUCCGGCAACCUUCUCGGAGAAAUGGGAAACUCGGAGGCACGACGUGUUCGAAAUUAUCCGAGACAUUAUUCUGCUCUCCGAGUGCGACCACGUGGUUUGCGGAUUCAGUUCAAACGUGUGUCGUCUCAUAUUGGAAAUACAGAGUUGGAAAUACUACAGAUUUAAUCCAGGCAAUAUUUCAAAUAAUGGAUCGUCCCGCUUAAAAUCGUUAGAUGGUGCUUAUAUCUAUAAUCUGUGGGGUAUAAAAUUUUGAAAAUAUUUAACACCCCUUCGUUUUCAAUUAUUUACAUUAACCUUUUGUAUUUCAUAAGAUACGGAUACAUUUUACACUAUCAUUAAAUGAUUAGAAAUAAUAACGCUCGUAUUUAUUUAAAGUGCAGCUUGAAAAUAUUUACCUCGUGUCAAGAAGUAAUUUUUAUUCGCCAAUAUAUCCCCAAAGUGGUCGAGUUUCUUCCACAUAUCAGUCAACCCAGACUCCUGCACGCGUUUCAAGCCCUUCGCCAGGUAAGUAGUGAAC